rnacentral:rRNA from 1 species
CGGGGUGAGUAAUGUCUGGGACACUGCCUGAUGGAGGGGGAUAACUACUGGAAACGGUAGCUAAUACCGCAUAACGUCGCAAGACCAAAGAGGGGGACCUUCGGGCCUCUUGCCAUCGGAUGUGCCCAGAUGGGAUUAGCUAGUAGGUGGGGUAACGGCUCACCUAGGCGACGAUCCCUAGCUGGUCUGAGAGGAUGACCAGCCACACUGGAACUGAGACACGGUCCAG